AUCUCUUCGGAGACAUCUGAUAAAAUUGGAACAAAAAAUAGAGGACUAGCAAGGCCACUGCACGAGGAUGGCAUGCUCAAAUCAAGAAAAAGUUUAUAUGUUG